CACAUUUCCCAUCAUACACUGCAGGACAAAGAUAAAGAAAAUGUGAAGACUCUUACUCUCUGCUCCACAGACUUGCGUGCUUGUACAGUCAUCCACAUAAUUCUUGACGACGACUUCCUUUGUGUCAUAAUCAUGACAUUGAGUGACAAAACCAGAAACUGAACUGAAAACUGCUGCAGAAAGUGAACAAAGAUAAAAUGUUGCUUCAGGCCGUGUGAAUAAAACAGCGUCCCCAUGCAGUGAUGUUGGAAGAGAUGUCUAUCUGACAAGAG